rnacentral:rRNA from 1 species
AUUGAACGCUGGCGGCAGGCUUAACACAUGCAAGUCGAGCGGAGAUGAGGUGCUUGCACCUUAUCUUAGCGGCGGACGGGUGAGUAAUGCUUAGGAAUCUGCCUAUUAGCGGGGGACAACAUUCCGAAAGGAAUGCUAAUACCGCAUACGUCCUACGGGAGAAAGCAGGGGAUCUUCGGACCUUGCGCUAAUAGAUGAGCCUAAGUCGGAUUAGCUAGUUGGUGGGGUAAAGGCCUACCAAGGCGACGAUCUGUAGCGGGUCUGAGAGGAUGAUCCGCCGAACUGGGACUGAGACACGGCCCAGACUCCUACGGGAGGCAGCAGUGGGGAAUAUUGGACAAUGGGGGGAACCCUGAUCCAGCCAUGCCGCGUGUGUGAAGAAGGCCUUAUGGUUGUAAAGCACUUUAAGCGAGGAGGAGGCUACUGAGACUAAUACUCUUGGAUAGUGGACGUUACUCGCAGAAUAAGCACCGGCUAACUCUGUGCCAGCCGCCGCCGUAAGAC